UUCAUCUUUGUCCAAAUAAUGGUGUGUUUUGGUGAUAUUUGUCUUCUGAGACCAAUAAAUGCCUUUCCUACUGGAUGGAUGUUUUAUGUGAGACAGUGUAUUCUCUUUCUGUUGCAGAAAUCUGGAGUUAUGUAGUAUUAUCAAAGAAAAACAGAAAAGGAUAUAUAUAUCCUGAAGAGUCAUGUAAAGACCUACCUAGGACUACUUUUUGGAGACUGGGAUGGGACUUGUGGAUAGAGAGCUUCAUUGUGGAAGGAGGAGCUCAGAGGUUCUUCACAGGAGAGAUGGCCCUGUACGGUGAAAGACAAACUGCACCAGGAUGGGUAAAAACAUCUAGCUGAAAGGCAACACAAUGAAUAGAGCUGGCUACAGUUCUAGGUGGAAUAACCUGCAUGCAUGAAGUAAUUUCUCGUGAAAAAUGAAUACGUCUGUCUCACGGUUGGCUGACUGAAGCACACAACGAUGAAGUAGAGCUGGGACAGUUUUCAGUAUGAAGUUGCCACUUCUCUGGCUGUUGCAUCUCCACCAUCCCUCUGACUGCCCAAAGUUUAUUCCAGAGUAUGGAGCACUUGCUGUGUUAUCAGGAGCAACAGGCGUACGUAUGGCCUAACCCAUCCGAGAUGGCUGUUUUUAAAUACAAUGACUUAUAAACACAGCGGCUGUCCCAGCUGAGCUGGCAUCGAGCUGGAUCGCUCUUAGAGGGAAGAUCUGCAGUUACCGGCAGAUCCACUGCCCAUGGGAAGCGCGCACGGAGGUGAGCAAUUCCGUUUUACGGACAGCGAAAACUUCUCCUUUCCCCACAGGUAACCCCUCGUGUAGACAGCCAAAUCAGAAGCCUGUUCUAUUCCGAAAGGGGUCUGCUACUCAGUGAAUACAAUUUCAAUUGCAUUUUUGAAAAAGCAGGGCAUACAUUUUCAAACAUGCAAAGCCAAAUGUCUUUCUUUUUAAAAAUUUUAAAUAUUAUAAAAGAUCCGAUUUGUUAAGGAUCAG